UACAAUACAAAUUUAAAGUCGUUAAAAUAAAAAAGAUUAAACUGCGAACAAAGUCUAACACCUAUGUUAAUAACGUAAAAUGACUAAGUACACAUGCAUACAAAUAUGAAAAUAUUCAAGUCUCGGGAAUCCUCGUCUCUGGAUCUGCAACGUUGACAACGACAAACUAUAUAUUGAUUGAAUAUGCAUUUGAUCAAAGACAAUACUUCAACAUGAAUUAAAUAAUCAUUACACUAAGACGGAAAAUCAAAAACACCUCGCACAAAGACGAAAAAUCAAAAACAACAUAGUCGUGUUAAGGCGAUGAAAUCUCAAACCAUAAACCACCCCUAUUCUCUAGACAAAAAAAAAAUGGUGACAACUAAAGUUUUAAAAAGAGAUUUUUUUUUGUUUAAGAAAUCAAAAUGAUAAAAAGAGAAAAAAUAGAUUAAUGAUUAUAUAAUAUUCAAUCAGUUUUAAUUAAUUUUAAAAAAUAAAUUUAUUCCCCCAAAAAAGAAAUUUAUAAUAUCCAUAAUUAAAAAAAAAAAAAAAAAGUUAUGUCCUGCCUCCUCCCCUUCAUCACAUACAAGAAUCAUACAUUGAAUAAAUUAAUCAAUUUUGUUAAAUGUGACAUGACAUAUGGGAACCAUAUGAAAAAAAAAAAAAAAAAAAACUUAAAAAUACUUUUUUUUUGAGAGAAAAACUAACAUCCGAAGAUGCUCUAAUUUGCAACUUUCUUAUAAUUAUUAGGCCUGCUAAUGACCAAUCGAUGGGACUAAACCACAAUAAUAGCAAUGUGUAUCUGGCAUUUUUCACUCUUCCACUCACUUAUCGGCUGAAAAGGAUAAACUAAAGACAUGAUUAUUCCCUUUUUUUUUUGGCAAAUGAUUAUGCCCUUUUAUUUAGGAUUUAUUUGUUUACAAUUUAGGAUUUAUUUUUACAAUGAAUGCUUCAAAUGAAUAAUGUGAAUAAAAGUUGUUCAAGGAAGCUAAAUUAUCAUUUCAGCAAAAGUAACUUAUGCAUUGAUCUUGCACAUAAAUAAAGCUACUUUCCUUAAAAAAAAUAAAAAAAAUAAAGCUACUUCUAGAAAUGGUUCGGAUCUAAAACAAUUACACAAAAUCGACUUGUAAUUAAGGUGAGAACUACCUUCACUUAUAAACACCUACUUAAACCAUCUUUAUUAAAUGUGAGUCUUAACACAUUCCAUCAUGUUUAUUGAAUUUGAUGCGUGAAUAUAAAUGAUGAACGAUCUGAUAGCUGAAACCUAAUUGCAAAUGACCCAAACGAUCCUAGUGGAGACUCUGAUAUCAUCUUAAAAUUUGUAGUUGAGAUAUCACAAUCCCACAAAAUCAGCACUGCCGCACUUAUAAAUAUACAUUCGUUUGAAGUUAUCUCUCAUCUAACGUGCAACUCCGAACACUGUUGAUUUUUUUUUUUUUGGACAAUAAAAAGCUAUUGAAAGUUGAUUUAGUUUACAAUUACUUUGUAAUGUUGGAUGCAAAGUUAUUUUCUUUUUUCAGAUAUUAUGAUUCAAUUUACCUUUAUCAUCUAUAAAGACUCCUCACGAAAAAUAAAUACUUAGGAAAUUCGAACUUUCCUGAAAGAAAUACGUACUUUCUUUGUUUUUUAUCCGAUAUCAACAUGGCCAAACAAAACCUAUCGCCAGGGAAAAAUUAAAAAAUACCUUAUCUUAAAAUACAUGUUUUGAGGACAAUUGUCUAAUAUCUAAUUGCUAUAAAUUUUCUUGUACACGAGAGACCAAAAAUAGAAGUUAGAGAGUUCCCUUCUUUCAUGCUACAGUCACAACCACAUCUAAAGAAUUUUUGUUUGUCUUUGCAGUUUUCACCCUUCAAUUUAUGAGAGAUUGCGGAUUGGAAAUUGGUCCGAGGAAAAACAUGGAAGUUGUUCAUGUAUGGAUUGAGGACCAUUACUUUAAUAAUUACAUGAGACACAUGUGUGUUCAAGAAAUAUGAUAAAUUCUCAUUAAAAAGAAAGACACAACCGCCAUCCAUGUAAAUCCUCAUUAACUAAUUUGCAUUCUCAGAUUUGAGUAGCUUGGUAUACCAAUGCACAAGGAACACGUAGACCCAUUCAAAAAAUUAUAUAUAUUUUUGGUCGAAAAAGAGGGCCAAAGUUCAAUCUAAUUAUUUUAGGGUUUUAUACGAGAACAUAGUCAUUUAGAACUGUACUAACCAAAUAGUGAGAAUAUGAUUCUCACGUCAUUGUCAUUUUUGAGGUUCAUAUGAGGUAAUCUGGACGCUUCUAACUUAUUAUAGUCAAAACAUGUAAGUAUUUGAUCAUAAACAUCCAAAAAAUCAUCAAUUUCCUAAACCCUAAACACUAACAUAUGGGCGAUUUAAAAAACAAACUAACAUAUAAAACUAAGAAUGCGUAUGCUAAGAGAUUAUGAACACUUACAUGUUAUUUGAUCGAUUAGUCACUUGACUUUAAAGAAAUUUGAUGAAGGCUGGUUUGUAGGAGUUUUGGGAGAGUUUAGUUUGUGUAUUACUCAAACGUGGGAGUUGCUCUUCGGUCGUGAAAUAUGAACAAAACACAGCGGUAGUUAACUGCCGCUGAUAUUGAAUGAACAUCAAUUAAAUACU
rnacentral:lncRNA from 1 species